GCAAUCGCUCUUUGUUUGACAAAGGGAGGAAAGUCCGGGCUCCAUAGGGCAGGGUGCCAGGUAAUGCCUGGGAGGUGCGAACCUACGGAAAGUGCCACAGAAAAUAUACCGCCUGUAUUAUUAAUAAUAUAAUUAUUUCUAUUACAGGUAAGGGUGAAAUGGUGCGGUAAGAGCGCACCGCGCGAUUGGUAACAGUCGUGGCAGGGAAAACCCCACCUGGAGCAAGACCAAAUAGGAAUCCACUUGGUUUACCAUAACGUGCGGCCCGUACGGGAUUCGGGUAGGUUGCUUGAGGCGCAUGGUGACGUGCGUCCCAGAUGAAUGAUUGCUCGCGACAGAACCCGGCUUA
rnacentral:RNase_P_RNA from 1 species